rnacentral:rRNA from 1 species
GACGAACGCUGGCGGCGUGCUUAACACAUGCAAGUCGAACGGUAAGGCUCCAGCUUGCUGGGGUACACGAGUGGCGAACGGGUGAGUAACACGUGGGUGACCUGCCCUGCACUUCGGGAUAAGCCUGGGAAACUGGGUCUAAUACCGGAUAGGACUGCACCGUGAGGGUGUGGUGGAAAGUUUUUUCGGUGUGGGAUGGGCCCGCGGCCUAUCAGCUUGUUGGUGGGGUAAUGGCCUACCAAGGCGGCGACGGGUAGCCGGCCUGAGAGGGUGGACGGCCACAUUGGGACUGAGACACGGCCCAGACUCCUACGCGAGGCAGCAGUGGGGAAUAUUGCACAAUGGGCGGAAGCCUGAUGCAGCGACGCCGCGUGGGGGAUGACGGCCUUCGGGUUGUAAACUCCUUUCACCAUCGACGAAGGGUUUCUGACGGUAGAUGGAGAAGAAGCACCGGCUAACUACGUGCCAGCAGCCGCGGUAAUACGUAGGGUGCGAGCGUUGUCCGGAAUUACUGGGCGUAAAGAGCUCGUAGGUGGUUUGUCGCGUCGUCUGUGAAAUUCCGGGGCUUAACUCCGGGCGUGCAGGCGAUACGGGCAUAACUUGAGUACUGUAGGGGAGACUGGAAUUCCUGGUGUAGCGGUGAAAUGCGCAGAUAUCAGGAGGAACACCGGUGGCGAAGGCGGGUCUCUGGGCAGUAACUGACGCUGAGGAGCGAAAGCAUGGGGAGCGAACAGGAUUAGAUACCCUGGUAGUCCAUGCCGUAAACGGUGGGCGCUAGGUGUGGGUUUCCUUCCACGGGAUCCGUGCCGUAGCUAACGCAUUAAGCGCCCCGCCUGGGGAGUACGGCCGCAAGGCUAAAACUCAAAGGAAUUGACGGGGGCCCGCACAAGCGGCGGAGCAUGUGGAUUAAUUCGAUGCAACGCGAAGAACCUUACCUGGGCUUGACAUAUACAGGAUCGCGCCAGAGAUGGUGUUUCCCUUGUGGCUUGUAUACAGGUGGUGCAUGGUUGUCGUCAGCUCGUGUCGUGAGAUGUUGGGUUAAGUCCCGCAACGAGCGCAACCCUUGUCUUAUGUUGCCAGCACGUUGUGGUGAGGACUCGUAAGAAACUGCCGGGGUUAACUCGGAGGAAGGUGGGGAUGACGUCAAAUCAUCAUGCCCCUUAUGUCCAGGGCUUCACACAUGCUACAAUGGUCGGUACAGUGGGUUGCCAGUCCGUGAGGGCGAGCUAAUCCCGCAAAGCCGGUCUCAGUUCGGAUCGGGGUCUGCAACUCGACCCCGUGAAGUCGGAGUCGCUAGUAAUCGCAGAUCAGCAACGCUGCGGUGAAUACGUUCCCGGGCCU